GAUAUAUGAUUAUAAUUACUCAGGAAACAUGAGUGGCUGUGACGGCACGGCAGGGAAAUUGAAGAAGAUAUGUGUAAGCUGAAACAUAAUAAUGAUAUUUAUUAAUGGGGUUGGUAAUUAGAUAAAAAGCUUUGCUUUCUUUCAAGAUUAAGAAAUUGCCCUGUGUGCACUUCAAGUGAAGCAUUUGGUGCUACAAUGCCCAAGCUUGCCAACCUACUUGCCAAACAUUUUUCCCCCCUCUCAAUUUAUAUGUACUUUUUUUUUUAUAAACGGAG
rnacentral:misc_RNA from 1 species